rnacentral:rRNA from 1 species
UUGGUAACGUCAAAACAGCAAGGUAUUAACUUACUGCCCUUCCUCCCAACUUAAAGUGCUUUACAAUCCGAAGACCUUCUUCACACACGCGGCAUGGCUGGAUCAGGCUUUCGCCCAUUGUCCAAUAUUCCCCACUGCUGCCUCCCGUAGGAGUCUGGACCGUGUCUCAGUUCCAGUGUGACUGAUCAUCCUCUCAGACCAGUUACGGAUCGUCGCCUUGGUAGGCCUUUACCCCACCAACUAGCUAAUCCGACCUAGGCUCAUCUGAUAGCGUGAGGUCCGAAGAUCCCCCACUUUCUCCCUCAGGACGUAUGCGGUAUUAGCGCCCGUUUCCGGACGUUAUCCCCCACUACCAGGCAGAUUCCUAGGCAUUACUCACCCGUCCGCCGCUGAAUCCAGGAGCAAGCUCCCUUCAUCCGCUCGACUUGCAUGUGUUAGGCCUGCCGCCAGCGUUCAAUCUGAGCCAGGAUCAAACUCUC